GGGAUGACACAGUAGGAUAAGCUAAGCACACUGUUGGUUAUGUGUGCCCAAGCAUUGAGGCAGUCAAAGUAGGCAAAUCCGCGUUGAUAAUGCUGGGAUGUGAUGGGGAGCGAAAUUUAGUAGCGAAGUAGCUGAUUUCACACUGUCAAGAAAAGUCUCUAUCGAGGUUAAAGGUACCCGUACCGCAAACCGACACAGGUGGGUGAGGAGAGUAUCCUAAGGCCA
rnacentral:rRNA from 1 species